UACAGAGGGGCGAAGCGUUGUUCGGAAUUACUGGGCGUAAAGCGUGCGCAGGCGGUGAUGUAAGACAGAUGUGAAAUCCCCGGGCUCAACCUGGGAACUGCAUUUGUGACUGCAUCGCUGGAGUGCGGCAGAGGGGAUGGAAUUCCGCGUGUAGCAGUGAAAUGCGUAGAUAUGCGGAGGAACACCGAUGGCGAAGGCAAUCCCCUGGGCCUGCACUGACGCUCAUGCACGAAAGCGUGGGGAGCGAACAGG
rnacentral:rRNA from 1 species